GUAGGUGGCAAGCGUUGUCCGGGAAUUAUUGGGGCGUAAAGCGCGCGCAGGCGGUUCUUUAAGUCUGAUGUGAAAGCCCACGGGCUCAACCGUGGAGGGUCAUUGGAAACUGGAGAACUUGAGUACAGAAGAGGAAAGCGGAAUUCCACGUGUAGCGGUGAAAUGCGUAGAGAUGUGGAGGAACAUCAGUGGCGAAGGCGGCUUUCUGGUCUGUAACUGACGCUGAGGCGCGAAAGCGUGGGGAGCAAACAGGAUUAGAUACCCUGGUAGUCCACGCCGUAAACGAUGAGUGCUAAGUGUUAGGGGGUUUCCGCCCCUUAGUGCUGCAGCUAACGCAUUAAGCACUCCGCCUGGGGAGUACGGCCGCAAAGGCUG
rnacentral:rRNA from 1 species